AGAAAUACACCACCGUGGGUGUGUUUGUGGUCAUGGGUGUGAUUUUUGCCUGGAGCACAGGAGUAGGUUCCUGGGUGGGAGGCACAGAGCUUGGAAGCACAGGGUGCAGGGAGAAUGAAAGCAGGAGUGGCGCUGCCCCGGCAGGGCAGGAGGGCCCGCACUGGGCCGCCGUCCAUGGAGCUCGCUGGCCUGCAGAGCUUGAACCAGUUCAAUUUCGCCAACUGACAGUUUUGCUCUGCUUGAUGUAGAUUUGCUAAGGCUUUUUGUACAUAAGCUUUGAAAGUCUUCUUAACUGGCUCAGAAGUGGAACAUGUUAUCUUUACAUCCUAGAGUUUUGAAAUCAGAGAAGAAUACAGUGGUUUCAAACCUCCUGCUGAACCUGAUUUCAAGCACAUCCAUGCUGGGACCUUAUAUCCUACUCUACAAUCUACUGAGAAUGCAGAUCUGUUUUUUAUACAUUUGGCUUGGGAACUGGCAACACCUGCUGCUCUCCUUAAUGACCUCUGCAGAGAUUGGCCUUUUGUCACCAGGACAAGAGCAGAAAAACUGCCCUGCUGACAGGGAAGGAUGGUGGUGUGAGAAUGUGCAUGUGUGAGCUGAAGGUUGUGCUGCUUACCAAGCAUGGAGCUGCCUCCUGGAGUACCUGUAGGACACUGCCUGGCCUCCUUUGUUCUGGUAAUGCUCCCCACUCCUCAGUGCUGAACACCUGGAGAUCAGACUAAGGGAAUAGGAGGUGGUGGUGAUAGACAACUAAAAGAGGCAAAGGCAAGUGGAGUGAUACAAAAUGGACCAUAGCUGGGUUAACUGAAUGAUCCAAAUCUAUGCAAGUUCUACCUUUUAACUGCUAUGCAUACCUACUUUUUAACAGUGCAGGAAAAACCUAUUAGAUAUUCCUAUGUUAUAGGAAUAAUGAAUUCUUUUGUUUGUCUGGUUUUUGUGUUGAUGGGGGGAGGUGGUUGUUUCUGUGGCACAAGAAGAGAGAAUCUGCAAUGAAUUAAUUUGUAUUCUGCUAUGUAAAUUACAGCAUCUCAUGAGCUCAUCAGCCCUUGCUUGGUUUUAAUAUUAUAUUACUAUUUCAAAAACUUCACACUCAAAUACUUAACCAUGCUGAGAGGGAGUAUUCUUAUGGAAGCUUUUGCUCUUCAGUAUGUCUGAAAAUUCAAGUUUUGAACAUUGAGAAAAAUUAGCUUAGAACUGUUAAUACCUUUUACCGUUUAAAAAAGGCAGGAACCUUUUUCAACAAUUUCUUAUUAUUGUUAUUGAUGGGGAGGAAGAAGAAUUUCAGGUUCUGUUUGCAUAAUAGAAAGGUCAUUAAACUACCUACUGGUUUA